rnacentral:rRNA from 1 species
UACAGAGGGUGCAAGCGUUGUUCGGAUUCAUUGGGCGUAAAGGGUGCGUAGGCGGCGCGGUAAGUCGGGUGUGAAAUCUCGGAGCUUAACUCCGAAACUGCAUUCGAUACUGCCGUGCUUGAGGACUGGAGAGGAGACUGGAAUUUACGGUGUAGCGGUGAAAUGCGUAGAUAUCGUAAGGAAGACCAGUGGCGAAGGCGGGUCUCUGGGCCGAUAUUGACGCUGAGGAGCGAAAGCGUGGGGAGCAAACAGG